rnacentral:lncRNA from 1 species
AGCAGGACAAACAGGCCAGGUGGUGUCAGGAGCCCAGGUCUCCAGCUAGAGGGAACAUCAACCCUGCAGUGGGAGCAGGGGCCCAUCGCACAUCCUAGGCACAGAUGCUAAUGUAGGCAUCACAGACCAUAAAGGAGAACAGCAAGAGGCCCCCACCAAACAUCCACAGAUGGCCCUGGACAUCAGCCACAUUCUGAGAAACAUGUCAUGUUCUGGGAUGGCUAAGGCAUCAACCUUACCCUGUGGUAAUUCUAGUGACUAUGUUGCCACCAUCUUGGAGCUCCAUGCCCUCAUAGUGUACGGCACCUGCAGAACUGCCUGUGCAUGGACAUCCUAUACUACCUCACUCCUGAGGGGUGAUGCUUCUGCAGGGCCUAUGAUCUGGUGCACAACUUUAGACACCAUCAUCCUGGAGCAGCUCUGCACCCUCACUAGCCAGAGUUUUGACAUCCUCAAGGCCAAGGCCACAUUCAAGACUUUGGACUUCAUUGAUGCACUUGUGCUGAGCAAGAUCCUGGUCAGAGUAAAACAUUCCAUGGGAACUCGGGCUGUGAGAACCAUCUUAACCAACUGACUGCAAAAACAUCCUUAUCACAUCCUGCUGGGCAAAGGCCCAACAGCCUGACUGCAGGAACAUCCUUAUCAUCUUCUACUGCGCAGCAAGCUGUACUGCCCAGAGCCCUCCCUCCCAGCCCCAUGAUUACCCCAGCCUGUGAGCGGCAGUGGGCGCUGACACUAAGCUGGUUUCCCCCUCCGCAGGGUUUUGCUAGUAGUAAGCCUGUG